rnacentral:rRNA from 1 species
AUUGAACGCUGGCGGCAGGCUUAACACAUGCAAGUCGAGCGGGGGAGGUUGCUUCGGUAACUGACCUAGCGGCGGACGGGUGAGUAAUGCUUAGGAAUCUGCCUAUUAGUGGGGGACAACGUUCCGAAAGGAACGCUAAUACCGCAUACGUCCUACGGGGGAAAGCAGGGGAUCUUCGGACCUUGCGCUAAUAGAUGAGCCUAAGUCGGAUUAGCUAGUUGGUGGGGUAAAGGCCUACCAAGGCGACGAUCUGUAGCGGGUCUGAGAGGAUGAUCCGCCACACUGGGACUGAGACACGGCCCAGACUCCUACGGGAGGCAGCAGUGGGGAAUAUUGGACAAUGGGCGCAAGCCUGAUCCAGCCAUGCCGCGUGUGUGAAGAAGGCCUUUUGGUUGUAAAGCACUUUAAGCGAGGAGGAGGCUCCUUUAGUUAAUACCUAAAGAGAGUGGACGUUACUCGCAGAAUAAGCACCGGCUAACUCUGUGCCAGCAGCCGCGGUAAUACAGAGGGUGCGAGCGUUAAUCGGAUUUACUGGGCGUAAAGCGUGCGUAGGCGGCUUUUUAAGUCGGAUGUGAAAUCCCUGAGCUUAACUUAGGAAUUGCAUUCGAUACUGGAGAGCUAGAGUAUGGGAGAGGAUGGUAGAAUUCCAGGUGUAGCGGUGAAAUGCGUAGAGAUCUGGAGGAAUACCGAUGGCGAAGGCAGCCAUCUGGCCUAAUACUGACGCUGAGGUACGAAAGCAUGGGGAGCAAACAGGAUUAGAUACCCUGGUAGUCC